UACGUAGAGUGCAAGCGUUGUCCGGAAUUAUUGGGCGUAAAGAGCUUGUAGGCGGUUUGUCGCGUCUGCUGUGAAAUUUCGGGGCUCAACCCCGAACUUGCAGUGGGUACGGGCAGACUAGAGUGGUGGUAGGGGAGACUGGAAUUCCUGGUGUAGCGGUGAAAUGCGCAGAUAUCAGGAGGAACACCGAUGGCGAAGGCAGGUCUCUGGGCCACUACUGACGCUGAGAAGCGAAAGCAUGGGGAGCGAACAGG
rnacentral:rRNA from 1 species